CGCCGUAAUGCGGUUGUCUUCAUCCUUCUAAUAUACAAAGGUCUGUCUCUUUCUCUCACACAUAUUUGACAAACGUAUGCAUUCUUUGAUUUUUAGUUCCCUCACUGAUUUGAUGAACUGAUUCGGUGAGUCCACCUGACACAAGAGCAAUAAGAUAAACAUAUUUGGUUUUGAAAGAGUUGAAUAGAUUUCAUAGCUUUUGGGGUUUUUCAGGUAACUGGGUUUCUGCUUAUAAUCAUAUGGGUUUUUCUUUAGCUGAAUUUGGAAUGAUAAUAUUAGUCUCCCACAAAUUUCUUUGAUGUAAAUUGGCUCCAGAUUUUGUGCUAAGUAUUUGAGUAAUUUCCCCUGUAUCUGAAUUUAAAUUUGAAAAAAAAAAAUCGAACCUAAUUGUUCUCAAAGUGAGAAUCGUUUUUGACCAAUAGUUUAAUAUAAUAUUCAAUUUUUGCAAAUUUCCUUACGAUUUGAUACACGAUAGAUUUAAGACAAAUAUGGUUUGUUCUCUGAUAGUCGUAGCCUUCUAGUUAAGAGUUUGAAUGUCAAAGGUCAAAUACCGAUUUCUCUCAGAUGCAAUACAGUCAAAUCUUGAGAAUUCAUGUUGAAUUUUUUUUUUUCUACAGUCACACAUGAACAAUCCCAUCGACUUUGAAGGUUCUUGACACACACACACGAUGACUUUGUGCUUUAGGGUUUUCUUUUGGGUUCCACAAACUUAUCGUGUUUCUGGACAGGUUUUAGGGUAAUUAUUUUCGAUUUCAUUUCUGGUCACACAUAAUUUCAAUUUCGUUUAUGGGCACACACUAACACCGACCAUCACCACACCUAUUGUGAAUCAGAUUUUAAGAUCAAAGUUGAACGUCUUUGCGAGUACAGCUCUUAUAAUAUUUGAUACAUGCAUAAGAGGAGAGGGGCGCUAUAUAUGUUUUGGCCUUCUGGGCGAACAAUUCAGAAAAGGGCGAAGUCUUUUCUCUUGAUUUUCUGAAGUUGUUAGGGGCACCGCAACACCUUUGUUCUUCGAGAAUACAUACAAACCCACACAUUUGGUCUCGGGUGAUUCAAAGAGACGGGGAUAAAAAGAAUGUGAUAAAUAUCUUCUUAAAUAGGUUCUAAUGCUAAUUUUAACAUUAGAUAUCUACUGAUGGAGGUGAGAUUCGUAGCCAUCAGUGACAUGAGAACACUUUCCUUCUAUAUGGCUUUCAUUUUGAAUCAUAUAAACCCAGAAACAAUGAUACACAUGUAGUUCUGGUUAAACCAGAAAAACAAUUAUUUUCAUGAUUUCACACAAAAGGAUUGGGUAGGGGA
rnacentral:lncRNA from 1 species